UGGGAGCUGCACUUGUGACAGCAUGACUAGAGUGCGUCAGAGGGAGGUGGAAGUCCGGGUGUAGCAGUGAAAUGCGUAGAGAUGCGGAGGAACACCGAUGGCGAAGGCAGCCUCCUGGGAUGACACUGACGCUCAUGCACGAAAGCGUGGGGAGCAAACAG
rnacentral:rRNA from 1 species